GACGAACGCUGGCGGCGCGCUUAACACAUGCAAGUCGAACGGAAAGGCCUGCUUUCCCUUGUGGAUUGCGGGUACUCGAGUGGCGAACGGGUGAGUAACACGUGAGUGAUCUGCCCCCAACUUGGGUAUAAGCCUGGGAAACUGGGUCUAAUUCCCGAUAGGACUGCAGGGUGGUGCCUGUGGUGGAAAACGAUUUUCUAGUGGUUGGGGAUGAGCUCGCGGCCUAUCAGCUUGUUGGUGGGGUAAUGGCCUACCUAGGCGGCGACGGGUAGCCGGCCUGGGAGGGUGGACGGCCACAUUGGGACUGAGAUACGGCCCAGACUCCUACGGGAGGCAGCAGUGGGGAAUAUUGCACAAUGGGCGGAAGCCUGAUGCAGCGACGCCGCGUGGGGGAUGACGGCCUUCGGGUUGUAAACUCCUUUCGACCGCGAGGAAGCCACCUGGUUGGAAGGGUGGUGACGGUAGUGGUAGAAGAAGCACCGGCUAACUACGUG
rnacentral:rRNA from 1 species